AUUGAACGCUGGCGGCAGGCCUAACACAUGCAAGUCGAACGAGCGGCGGACGGGUGAGUAAUGUCUGGGAAACUGCCCGACGGAGGGGGAUAACUACUGGAAACGGUAGCUAAUACCGCAUACUAUCGGAUGUGCCCAGAUGGGAUUAGCUAGUAGGUGGGGUAACGGCUCACCUAGGCGACGAUCUCUAGCUGGUCUGAGAGGAUGACCAGCCACACUGGGACUGAGACACGGUCCAGACUCCUACGGUAGGCAGCAGUGGGGAAUAUUGCACAAUGGGCGCAAGCCUGAUGCAGCCACGCCGCGUGUAUGAAGAAGGCCUUAGGGUUGUAAAGUACUUUCAGCGAGGAGGCGUUACCCGCAGAAGAAGCACCGGCUAACUCCGUGCCAGCAGCCGCGGUAAUAC
rnacentral:rRNA from 1 species